CGCCCGUCGCUCCUACCGAUUGGAUGUGCUGGUGAAGCUCUCGGACUGGCGGCAGCCAGCGGUUCUCCGCCGACUGUCGCCGGGAAGUCAGUUAAACCCUCCCAUCUAGAGGAAGGAGAAGUCGUAACAAGGUCUCC
rnacentral:rRNA from 1 species